rnacentral:lncRNA from 1 species
GGAUGGUGAGUAGUAUGGUGGUGGUGGUGAGCUGUAAACAUACGGUGGUGGAGGAGAUUUGUAGUCUACCUUAGGGGAUGGAGAGUAGUACGGUGGUGGUGGAGAACUGUAGACGUAUGGGGGAGGAGAAGACUUGUAUACAACUUUGGGAGAUGGAGAAUAGUAAGGUGGUGGUGGGGAGCUGUAGACAUAUGGUGGAGGAGAAGAUUUGUAUACAACCUUAGGGGAUGGAGAAUAACAUGGAGGUGGUGGUGGACAUACACAUACAUGAGGGUGUGGUGGAGAUUUGUAUACAACUUUAGGGGAUGGUGAGUAGUACGGUGGUGGUGGAGAGUUGUAAACAUAUGGUGGUGGAGGAGACUUGUAGUGCACUUUUGGUGAAGGUGAGUAGUAUGGUGCUGGUGGGGAGCUGUAAACAUAUGGUGGUGGAGGAGACUUGUAGUGUACUUUAGGAGAAGGUGAGUAGUACGGUGGUGGUGGAGAACUGUAUACAUAUGGUGGGGGAGGAGAUUUGUAGUCAACUUUAGGGGAUGGUGAGUAGUAUGGUGGUGGUGGAGAACUGUAAACAUACGGUGGUGGAGGAGACUUGUAGUCCACCUUUGGAGAUGGAGAGUAGUAUGGUGGUGGUGGGGAGCUGUAAACAUAUGGUGGUGGAGGAGACUUGUAGUCUACCUUAGGGGCUGGAGAGUAGUAUGGUGGUGGUGGAGAAUUGUAAACAUACGGUGGUGGAGGAGAUUUGUAGUGUACUUUAGGGGAUGGAGAGUAGUAAGGUGGUGGUGGGGAGCUGUAGACAUAUGGUGGAGGAGAAGAUUUGUAUACAACCUUAGGGGAUGGAGAAUAACAUGGAGGUGGUGGUGGACAUACACAUACAUGAGGGUGUGGUGGAGAUUUGUAUACAACUUUAGGGGAU